GACUACUGGGGUAUCUAAUCCUGUUUGAUCCCCACGCUUUCGUGCAUGAGCGUCAGUUAUUGCUUGGUAAGCUGCCUUCGCGAUCGGUGUUCUGUGUCAUAUCUAAGCAUUUCACCGCUACAUGACACAUUCCGCCUACCUCAACAAUACUCAAGAAUGACAGUAUCAAUGGCAGUUCUACAGUUAAGCUGUAGGCUUUCACCACUGACUUAUCACUCCGCCUGCGCACCCUUUAAACCCAAUGAAUCCGGAUAACGCUUGCAUCCUCCGUAUUACCGCGGCUGCUGGCACGGAGUUAGCCGAUGCUUAUUCUUACGGUACCAUCAGCACCGAUACACGACCGGUGGUUUUUUCCCGUACAAAAGAAGUUUACAACCCAUAGGGCCGUCAUCCUUCACGCGGCAUGGCUGGUUCAGGCUUGCGCCCAUUGACCAAUAUUCCUUACUGCAGCCCCCCGUAGG
rnacentral:rRNA from 1 species